GUCAGUUUAUGUAUUUUCCUCUGAUCACUAUACGCAGUGACAAACAGCUUCAGGUCAUUUACACUUUAAAGUACAUCAUGUUCACUGAAGCUUUACUGCUGCUGCUGGCAAGUCUAAACUGUAUUAAUGCAGAUGAACUCUCUCAGCCUGAGUUUUUGACUGUUCGGCCCGAUGGCUCUCUAACUAUCGACUGUAAAGUCUCUUAUUCAGUUACUAGCUAUAAUACAGCCUGGAUCCGUCAACCUGCAGGAAAACCUCUGGAGUGGAUCGGGCGGAUCAUUUAUGAUGGAAGGUUAUAUUACAAGGAUUCACUAAAAAACAAGUUCAGCAUCACCAGAGACACCUCCAGUAAUACAAUUACAUUGAAAGGAAGCAAUAUGCAAGCUCAAGACACAGCUGUGUAUUAUUGUGCCAGAGAAACACAGUGACAGAAGCCAACAGUCUCUCUAUACAAAAACCUUUCACAACUGAUAUUGAAAUCCAACAAAUAAAUAAUUAAUCAUAAUAAAUAUAAUAAAUAGCUUAAAUAUUACUACUGUAACUGCAACAAGUAGUGCAUUUUUGUUAAAGUAGAAAGUCAAUAAAAUCAAUAUUGUCACUUGUAUUUCCCCAAUAACAUUUGUUUUGUUAUGUUUUGUUUUAGAUUAGCAGCUGAACGUUUGCUGAUGUUUACCUUCAUCUCUAUUAAAAGUUACAGGCAACACAUGAACUAUUGCAACAUCAGUAGGUGGCAGUAAUGCAUCAAUUUAUUGUGAUCCUUGUAAGGAUAAAGUUGGACUGCUUGACCCAAGCUCAGAGUACAACUUUGGAUGGACCUUAUUUGGGAUCAAUAGGCUAAUAACUACAUGUAAAGUGGAU